rnacentral:rRNA from 1 species
UACGUAGGGGGCUAGCGUUGUCCGGAAUCAUUGGGCGUAAAGCGCGCGUAGGCGGCCCGGUAAGUCCGCUCUGAAAGUCCAGGGCUCAACCCUGGAAAGCGGGUGGAUACUGCCGGGCUAGAAUCCGGAAGAGGCGAGUGGAAUUCCUGGUGUAGCGGUGGAAUGCGCAGAUAUCAGGAGGAACACCAAUAGCGAAGGCAGCUCGCUGGGACGGUAAUUGACGCUA